UCUCCCUUUCUUCUCCAUUCACUUCGAACCGAAACCCUGAAACCCUUGGCGCCCCCAUUCUUCUCCAUCCACCCACCCACCGGUCGAGUUCUGCCGGCCGCCGACCAUACCGGCAGGAGAUCUGAACCUACCGGAGUGGGAGCCCCCUGACGCCGCUUUACACCCCCUUCGGUGACCCACCGGUCGACGCCGACGAUCAUACCGGCAGGAGUUUGAACCAGAAGGCAGAUGGCAGAAAGAGAUUAGAUUUCAAACCAAGAAAUUCUUAUUCAAAGAGAUGAAGAUAAAAGGGCAAGAAGCUGUUAAAGUAAGGGAAGAGAAGACGGUGAUGAUUUACCUAGUGGGAGAAGUGACAACAUGGUUCAAAGGAUUUCUAGACGUGGCGACAGAUCAGUGAAGACCAGACUUACAGCAUAGGGUUGAUCGUAGUGUGUAUCACCAUAAGCACUCUAAUGACCCUGAUAUAAUACAUAUUGGCCGAUAUGCCUUUUUUAUGAUUA